UACGGGGGGAGCAAGCGUUGUUCGGAUUUACUGGGCGUAAAGGGCGCGUAGGCGGCGCAACAAGUCACUUGUGAAAGCUCCCGGCUUAACUGGGAGAGGUCAAGGGAAACUGUUCAGCUAGAGUGUGGUAGAGGAAGAUGGAAUUCCCGGUGUAGCGGUGAAAUGCGUAGAUAUCGGGAGGAAUACCUAUGGCGAAAGCAGUCUUCUGGACCAUCACUGACUCUGAUCUGCGAAAGCUAGGGGAGCAAACAGG
rnacentral:rRNA from 1 species